rnacentral:rRNA from 1 species
GACGAACGCUGGCGGCGUGCCUAAUACAUGCAAGUCGAACGGUCUUUUCUAUGGAAGCUUGCUUCCGCUGAGAAGAUAGUGGCGAACGGGUGAGUAGCACGUGGGUAACCUGCCCAUAAGAGGGGGAUAACAUCCGGAAACGGGUGCUAAUACCGCAUAGGUUUCUUGGUCGCAUGAUCGAGAAAGGAAAGACGGCCUUUGUGCUGUCGCUUAUGGAUGGACCCGCGGCGUAUUAGUUAGUUGGCGAGGUAACGGCUCACCAAGACGAUGAUACGUAGCCGACCUGAGAGGGUGAUCGGCAACAUUGGGACUGAGACACGGCCCAAACUCCUACGGGAGUCAGCAGUAGGGAAUCUUCCGCAAUGGACGAAAGUCUGACGGAGCAACGCCGCGUGAGUGAAGAAGGUUUUCGGAUCGUAAAACUCUGUUGUCAGAGAAGAACAAGUCGGAGAGUAACUGCUCCGGCCUUGACGGUAUCUGACCAGAAAGCCACGGCUAACUACGUGCCAGCCGCCGCGGUAAAAC